rnacentral:lncRNA from 1 species
GAAGGCUGUAAACCCCACUUAAGGGCUGACUGCCACUAGGAAGGAUCUCUUUCUGGAGAUCUCGCCUUGGUGGAGUCUUUCCUGUGAGCCUAGAUCUUUGGAUACAGGUGAGCAUUCCUUCCCAGUUGUAUCUUUUCCCAUUUCCACCACAAUAAUCUUUCCAGCUGUAACACCAACUGUAACAGCUGGCAACCUCCUAUCUAUUUAAAAGAUGUGGAACUUUUGUUAAAGUACACGUAGCAAAUAUUUUUUUCACUGCUGAUGUAACAUUCAAUCUGAUUUUAUUUUCUUUAUAACAAGAAUAACAUUGAUAUUUCCUCCCUUACAAACACCUGCUCUUCCUUUAUAUCAGGUAUUCAGGUGAGAUAAAAAUGAACAAAGACUCUGAGAAGAGAUGCUGUAAAUCAGAUAGGGCUCUAUUUGUUUUCCAACGAAUGCUUUUCUUAUGAAAAAGAAAACUCUUGUCAUCUAUGACAGUAGAGAAGAGCCUUUGUGCAGCUAUUUUGACUAUCCACACAGUGAAAAGCAUCCUGUAGUGGACAAGAAUUUUAUUAGUUUAAAGAAGAUCUUGGAUUUAUAG